GAUGAACGCUGGCGGCGUGCCUAAUACAUGCAAGUCGAGCGAACAGAUGAGGAGCUUGCUCCUCUGACGUUAGCGGCGGACGGGUGAGUAACACGUGGAUAACCUACCUAUAAGACUGGGAUAACUUCGGGAAACCGGAGCUAAUACCGGAUAAUAUAUUGAACCGCAUGGUUCAAUAGUGAAAGACGGUUUUGCUGUCACUUAUAGAUGGAUCCGCGCCGCAUUAGCUAGUUGGUAAGGUAACGGCUUACCAAGGCAACGAUGCGUAGCCGACCUGAGAGGGUGAUCGGCCACACUGGAACUGAGACACGGACCAGACUCCUACGGGAGGCAGCAGUAGGGAAUCUUCCGCAAUGGUCGAAAGCCUGACGGAGCAACGCCGCGUGAGUGAUGAAGGUCUUCGGAUCGUAAAACUCUGUUAUUAGGGAAGAACAAAUGUGUAAGUAACUAUGCACGUCUUGACGGUACCUAAUCAGAAAGCCACGGCUAACUACGUG
rnacentral:rRNA from 1 species